rnacentral:rRNA from 1 species
GCAUAAUCAAUAGUUUUUUAAUUGGGAACUGGAAUGAAGGGUAGUUACUAAAAAGAAAGUUUUAUUAAAAAUUUUUGAAUUUAAAUUAAAAGUAAAAAUGCUUUUAUUAUGCCUUGGGACGAGAAGACCCUAGAAGCUUAUAAAAAAUUUGAUUUUUUUUGAAUUGGGGCAAUUUGAUGAAGAAUAUAUAUUUUUAAUUUUUAUUUAUAAAAAUUUUAUAGAGGGAAGUUACUCUAGGGUUAACAGUGCUAUUUAAUUAACAAGUUCUUAUUAAUAAUUAAGUUUGCAACCUCGAUGUUGAAUUAAUA